UGAGGAAUAUUGGUCAAUGGGCGAGAGCCUGAACCAGCCAAGUAGCGUGAAGGAUGACUGCCCUAUGGGUUGUAAACUUCUUUUAUAAAGGAAUAAAGUCGGGUAUGCAUACCCGUUUGCAUGUACUUUAUGAAUAAGGAUCGGCUAACUCCGUGCCAGCAGCCGCGGUAAUACGGAGGAUCCGAGCGUUAUCCGGAUUUAUUGGGUUUAAAGGGAGCGUAGAUGGAUGUUUAAGUCAGUUGUGAAAGUUUGCGGCUCAACCGUAAAAUUGCAGUUGAUACUGGAUAUCUUGAGUGCAGUUGAGGCAGGCGGAAUUCGUGGUGUAGCGGUGAAAUGCUUAGAUAUCACGAAGAACUCCGAUUGCGAAGGCAGCCUGCUAAGCUGCAACUGACAUUGAGGCUCGAAAGUGUGGGUAUCAAACAGGA
rnacentral:rRNA from 1 species